GACGUAGGGGGCGAGCGUUGUCCGGAUUUAUUGGGCGUAAAGCGUGCGUAGGCGGCUGCGCAAGUCGGGUGUGAAACCCCGGGGCUCAACCCCGGAACUGCAUCCGAUACUGCGUGGCUAGAGGUAGGUAGGGGAGAUCGGAAUUCCUGGUGUAGCGGUGAAAUGCGCAGAUAUCAGGAGGAACACCGGUGGCGAAGGCGGAUCUCUGGGCCUUACCUGACGCUCAGGCACGAAAGCGUGGGGAGCAAAAGGG
rnacentral:rRNA from 1 species